AGAGUUUGAUCCUGGCUCAGAUUGAACGCUGGCGGCAUGCCUUACACAUGCAAGUCGAACGGCAGCGCGGGGCAACCUGGCGGCGAGUGGCGAACGGGUGAGUAAUAUAUCNNAACGUACCCUGNANUGGGGGAUAACGUANCGAAAGUUACGCUAAUACUGCAUACGAUCUAAGGAUGAAAGUGGGGGAUUCGCAAGAACCUCAUGCUCCUGGAGCGGCCGACAUCUGAUUAGCUAGUUGGUGGGGUAAAGGCCUACCAAGGCAUCGAUCAGUAGCUGGUCUGAGAGGACGACCAGCCACACUGGAACUGAGACACGGUCCACACUCCUACGGGAGGCAGCAGUGGGGAAUUUUGGACAAUGGGCGAAAGCCUGAUCCAGCAAUGCCGCGUGAGUGAAGAAGGCCUUCGGGUUGUAAAGCUCUUUNGUCAGGGAAGAAACGGUGGGNGGGNNNUAUCUUUUGCUAAUGACGGUACCUGAAGAAUAAGCACCGGUUAACUACGUGCCCAGCAGCCGCCGGUAAAUACGUANGGUGGCAAGCGUUAAUCCGGAAAUUACUGGGCGUUAAACGUGCGCAGGCGGGUUUUNGUAAGUUUGGUCCGUGGAAAUNCCCCGGGCUCCAACCUGGGGAAUUGGGAUUAAAACUGGCAAAGGCUUA
rnacentral:rRNA from 1 species